rnacentral:rRNA from 1 species
UAGGGAAUCUUCCGCAAUGGACGCAAGUCUGACGGAGCAACGCCGCGCGAGUGAAGAAGGAUUUCGGUUCGUAAAACUCUGUUGUUAGAGAAGAACAGCGCAUAGAGUAACUGUUAUGCGUGUGACGGUAUCUAACCAGAAAGCCACGGCUAACUACGUGCCAGCAGCCGCGGUAAUACGUAGGUGGCAAGCGUUGUCCGGAUUUAUUGGGCGUAAAGCGAGCGCAGGCGGUCAAUUAAGUCUGAUGUGAAAGCCCCCGGCUCAACCGGGGAGGGUCAUUGGAAACUGGUUGACUUGAGUGCAGAAGAGGAGAGUGGAAUUCCAUGUGUAACGGUGAAAUGCGUAGAUAUAUGGAGGAACACCAGUGGCUAAGGCGACUCUCUGGUCUGUAACUGACGCUGAGGCUCGAAAGCGUGGGUAGCAAACAGG